rnacentral:rRNA from 1 species
GACGAACGCUGGCGGCGUGCCUAACACAUGCAAGUCGAACGGAGCUUGCUUAAACGGAGACUUCGGUCAAAGUUUUCGUAAGCUUAGUGGCGGACGGGUGAGUAACGCGUGAGUAACCUGCCGUUCAGAGGGGGACAACAGUUGGAAACGACUGCUAAUACCGCAUAAUGUGCAACCAAGGCAUCUUGGAUGUACCAAAGGAGCAAUCCGCUGUAAGAUGGGCUCGCGUCCGAUUAGGUAGUUGGUGAGGUAACGGCUCACCAAGCCUACGAUCGGUAGCCGGACUGAGAGGUCGAACGGCCACAUUGGAACUGAGAAACGGUCCAGACUCCUACGGGAGGCAGCAGUGGGGAAUAUUGGGCAAUGGGCGCAAGCCUGACCCAGCGACGCCGCGUGAGGGAAGAAGGUCUUCGGAUUGUAAACCUUUGUCAACAGGGACGAAACAAUGACGGUACCUGUGAAGGAAGCCACGGCUAACUACGUG